CAUUGCCGCCUACUCGCACAUAUAAAAGGACAUGGACAACUGUAAAGUCAACAAGAGAAGCCCACAGCUAUGAAGCUCAUCACCGCAGCACUGGUCCUGGCGUUGGUGCUGGUGAGCAGCCCCGUAGAGGCUGGGAGGCCGGGAAGCUGCCCGAAGCUGCUGAUCAUCAUCCGUCCUUUAAGCAAAGUGAUACCGCAGUGCUACCAUGACUACCAAUGUCGCCGUCCCCUGAAGUGCUGCGGUGGCAUAUGCCGCUUGCCCUGCCUGCCCGCUUGCAGAUACGGUACGACGUGCACCAUCAUCAACUACAAGCUCUUCAAAUAUGUUCCCGCCAAGUGGAUUCUCCGAUGCAUCUAAAGACGCCGCUUGAGGACGAACGUCGGCCAGCGGUCGUGCCGCCCCCUGCUCACCGUCGGCAGCAACGUGCUGACAUUCGCAAGCUUGUCGUACGAUUGGAACAGGGUCUGAUGUGUUGCCGUCGGUUCGGGCAUUUUGAUGUAACGGCACUGAUCAAAUGAUUUCCUUUUGGACUUAAAAUCUGGGUAAAAGUGAACAAUUGUUCCACCCGUUCGUGUGCUUGGUUUUUGUGCAGGCGCAAGAAAUUGGACGUAAAUAUAUGAAACUGGAGACAUUUCUGCGUCGAAGCUGGCACCCACUUUCUACUCUGACAAAAAUAUAACCGGAUUCCAAG
rnacentral:lncRNA from 1 species